rnacentral:lncRNA from 1 species
GGGUAAUGAGGCAAAUAGAGUACCAGAGACUAUGGUUUAAGAACAAGAGCUUCCUUUAUUGUACUAAAGAGAGAGCUCUUUACAGAUCGUUAAAUUUUACAAAAUCACACCCGACAGUUUCAGUUCCAUACCUUAGGAAUAGAUGUUUCUACAGAGUUCGAAUGUCUUCUGAAAUGAGCUCAAGACAUGGACGGGAACAAUGCGGAGGAAGUUAGUAGAGGAGGAUGUAUAGCUGCAGGAUUCGGAUUGAAGUUGAAGGAAAGAUAGGUCGCCGGCGACGAACCGUAGAAACCUCAGCGAAGAACUUCAGCGGAAACGUGCGGAGAUAAAGUGGCGAGAGCGAAUCGCUUACGUCUCCUUCGUUUUAUCUAAUUGAAGUCCCUCCUAUAUAGUCCUCUUAUAGUCCCUCCUAUAGGUUCCUACGACAGUUUUUAUAGUAUUCUCAACUAUUCGACCUUUUUACCUCAGUCGGUGCAGGGGAGAACGAUGUUUCCGGACAUCUGUCCUAACAUUACAUCAAUAGCUAAAAUCACGGCUGGAUUUAAUUACGUCGGAACAAGGAUUAUGGGUCGGACAGACAAUUCGAUUUAUUGCCA